rnacentral:lncRNA from 10 species
CAUUUUCCAUCAGCUGAGUGACCUGGGAGGCACACUAGAGAGGGCACAUUUCUUUUCUUUUCUUUUCUUUUUUUUUUUGAGACAGUCUCACUCUGUCACCCAGGCUGGAGUGUAGUGGCGCAGUCUCAGCUCACUGCAACCUCUGCCUCCUGGGUUCAAGUGAUUCUCCUGCCUCAGCCUCCCGAGUAGCUGGGAUUACAGGUGCGUGCCACCACACCUGGUUAAUUUUUGUAUCUUUAGUAGAGACAGGGUUUCACCAUGUUAGCCAGGCUGGUUUCGAACUCCUGACCUCAGGUGAUCUGCCCACCUUGGCCUCCCAAAGUGCUGGGAUGACAGGCAUGAGCCACCACACCCAGACGAGAGGGCACAUUUCCAACUGCAUUCUGAAGGCCUGGUGGUGAGAAAGAGCAUAUAGAGGUGGCACAGCCCAUAGCAGAGAUGAGGCCAAGGACAAGAAGAGAAUGCAGGAUGCCGCUUUCCACCUAGAAGAAGGGUUCUCCAGCCCCUCCCUUUUUCACGCUCCGAAGCCGAGAAGGCCCAAAGCGAAGACA